rnacentral:rRNA from 1 species
UACGGAGGAUUCGAGCGUUAUCCGGAUUUAUUGGGUUUAAAGGGAGCGUAGGCGGACGCUUAAGUCAGUUGUGAAAGUUUGCGGCUCAACCGUAAAAUUGCAGUUGAUACUGGGUGUCUUGAGUACAGUAGAGGCAGGCGGAAUUCGUGGUGUAGCGGUGAAAUGCUUAGAUAUCACGAAGAACUCCGAUUGCGAAGGCAGCUUGCUGGACUGUAACUGACGCUGAUGCUCGAAAGUGUGGGUAUCAAACAGG